rnacentral:rRNA from 1 species
UUAUAAGAGACAGCAGCCGCCGCGGUAAUACGGAGGGUGCAAGCGUUAAUCGGAAUUACUGGGCGUAAAGCGCACGCAGGCGGUCUGACAAGUCAGAUGUGAAAUCCCCGGGCUUAACCUGGGAACUGCAUUUGAAACUGUCAGGCUGGAGUCUUGUAGAGGGGGGUGGAAUUCCAGGUGUAGCGGUGAAAUGCGUAGAGAUCUGGAGGAAUACCGGUGGCGAAGGCGGCCCCCUGGACAAAGACUGACGCUCAGGUGCGAAAGCGUGGGGAGCAAACAGGAUUAGAUACCCGGGUAGUCCCUGUCUCUUAUAC